UAAUGUCAAGAGACUAAAACUCUGGGGAA
rnacentral:piRNA from 1 species